rnacentral:rRNA from 1 species
UACGUAGGGGGCAAGCGUUAUCCGGAAUUACUGGGUGUAAAGGGAGCGUAGACGGUAAUGUAAGUCUGGAGUGAAAGGCGGGGGCCCAACCCCCGGACUGCUCUGGAAACUAUGUUACUAGAGUGCAGGAGAGGUAAGCGGAAUUCCUAGUGUAGCGGUGAAAUGCGUAGAUAUUGGGAGGAACACCAGUGGCGAAGGCGGCUUACUGGACUGUAACUGACGUUGAGGCUCGAAAGCGUGGGGAGCAAGCAGG